rnacentral:tRNA from 1 species
GCGGGAUGGCCGCGUGGCACGGCCGCUGGCUGUCGUUCGGGGUGCUGUGCAUCGGCGAUGCGGCGGGACGGCUCGGUUUCGGCGUCUCGCCC